CAAAUAUAUAGCUAAAAAGCAUUUCAUUUACAUUGAAAAGAUAUUGUUUGUUCAAUUUAUUUGA
rnacentral:tRNA from 1 species